UUUUUUUUUUGCUGAGGAAGAUUGGCCCUGGGCUAACAUCCGUGCCCAUCUUCCUCUACUCUUUACGUGGGACGCCGCCACAGCAUGGCUUGAUAAGCGGUGCAUAAGUCCGGCCCAGGAUCUGAACCCGUGAACCCCGGGCUGCUGAAGCGGAACGUGCGAACUUAACCACUACACCACCAGGCCGGCUCCUAUUUGCCUUUUUGCUGGAUGACAAGUCAGAAAGGGGGAAGGCCCCUCCCAGAGACCAGUAGUGUGAAGAGACGUGGGGUUCAAUGCUCAAAGUUUUCUCACUGCCAAAAAAUAGUUGCUGUCUGGGUUAGUUUCCUAUUGCUGCUGUAAUAAGUUACCACAAACUUGGUGGCUUAAAACAACACACAUUUAUCAUCUUACAGUUCCAGAGGUCAGAAGUCUGAAAUGGGUUGGCAGGGCUGCAUGCCUUCUGGAGGCUCUAGGGGAGAAUCAUUUCCUUGCCUUUUCCAGCUUCUAGAGGCUUUCACAUUUCUUGACUGUUGGUUUCCUUCUGCUCGACCCUCCAAACUCUGCUUCAGUCAUCACGUCUCCUUCUCUGACGCUGAGUCUCCUGCCUCUUUCUUUCACUUGUGAGGAGCCCUGUAAGAACAUUGGAUCCACCUGGAUAAUCCAGACGAAUCUUCCAUUGCAAGAUCCUUAAUCACAUCUGUAAAGUCCCUUUUGCCAUGGAAGGUAACAUCUUCACAGGUUCUGGGGAUAAGGACAUGGACCUCUUUUCUCAAGAGGGGCAUUAUUCUGCCUAUCACACUGGCGCUGGGACGCUGUAUGAGAGUUUGUCUGCAAGGAGCUGGGUCUGCCAGGAUGGUAGGAAUGAUUUUUCAUGAUCUGGGACGCUGACUCUCCUGACAAGCCACACUGCUGCGUGAGCUGGUUAGUCUGAAUCACCACCAGGGCUGGGGGCAUUUCCCAUGGCCAAGCAGCCGUUGUGGUUGUUAAGAUGGUAUCCCCCACUGCAGGAAUCCCGUGCUCUGGAGAUGUGGCUGCUGAGAGGUAUCUGGUACCCUGCGUGGGAAGCUCUCAGUGGAAGAGAGGGAGACCUGGGAAGGACGCAGAGAAGACAACGAGGUAGUGGCCCUUUCUGCAUGUUGCCUCAGGUGAAAGUCCCCGGCAGUUAGCUUUUGUUGUAGGGGGAAAGAUGACAAGAAGUGGACAGUGGGAUGGGGAGCAAAUGACACCUUUCUAUAUCAUUGCAUUCUCUGAAGGGUUUACAUCACAGCACCCGCCAGGUCCCACGGAACCCUAUACUGAACUGAUUCUAUACCCUAGAUAGCACAGAGUCUGCGCUUAGGAACUGGCUGUAAGAACAAUGGAAAAUAAAGCUAGCAGUUGGUCAUUAGAUUGGUAGCUGGUUGGUAAUUACAAGUUUCUCUCUUGCUUCCUGGUUUAAGAUGUGUUUUGGGUAUCUGAAAGCAGAGCCCAGGGUCCUGUGGUAGGAAUUUGCACUCAGGAUUUGUGGUGCAUUGGAUUGCUGUGUGUUAAUCCAUAGGAGGAGUACACUUCCUUGCCCCACUGAUGUUGAGCUUGGCCAUGCAUGAGACUUGCUUUAGCCAAUGGGAUCUUAGCAGACGUGAUAUAAUCAGAGGCUUGAAAUGUGCUUGUGGGGCUGGGCUUGCCCUCCAGCCUUUUGCCCUGAAAAGAACAUGGUCCAAGGAAGAUGAGUGGCAUGUGGAGCAGAUCUGGACCCAACCUGCAGCUUGAAGUUAAACCCAGCUGAGCCCAGCCUCAAUCAACUGAACCCCAGCUGACCAUGGACAUGUGAGAGAGAAGAAAGAAGAAGAAAACGUGGGGAUAGAUACAACACCAAAAGCAAAAUCCAUGAAAGAAAAAAUUGAUAAAUUGGACGUCAUUAAAAUUAAAAGGUCUCUUCUGAGAAAGACACUGUGAAGAAAUGAAAAGAUAAGCUCCAAUGUGGGAGAAAAUAUUUGCAAAACGCAUAUCUGAUAAAGGAUUGAUAUCCAAAGAUAUACAAAGAACUCUUAAAACUCAACAAUAAGAAAACAACUCAAUUAAAAAAUGGGCAAAAGACCUGAACAGACACCUCACAAAAGAAGAUAUGCAGAUAGAAAAUAAGCACAUGAAAAGCUGCUUCACAUCAUAUGUCAUCAGGGAAAUGCAAAUUAAAACAACGAGAUACCACUACACACCUAUGAGAAUGGCCAAAAUCCAGAACCCUGACAACACCAAAUGCUGGCAAGGAUGUGGAGCGACAGGAACUCUAAUUCAUUGCUGGAGGGCAUGCAAAAUGGUGCAGCCACUUUGGAAGAAAGCUUGUCAGUUUCUUACAAAACUAAACAUACUCUUACCAUUUGGUCCAGCAAUUGUGCUCCUUGGCAUUUACCCAAAGGAGUUGUAAACUUAUGUCCACACAAAAACCUACACAGUAAUAUUUGUAGUAGCUUUAUUUAUAAUUGUCAAAACUUGGAAGCAACUAAGAUGUCCUUCAACAGGUAAAUGGAUAAACAAACUGUGUACAUCCAUAUAAUGGAAUAUUGUUCUGUGAUAAAAAGAAAUGAGCCAUCAAGACAUGGAAAAACCUUAAAUGCAUAUUGCUGGGUGAAAGAAGCCAGUCUGAAAAGGCUACAUACUAUAUGAUUCCAACUAUCUGACAUUCUGGAAAAGGCAAAACUACAGAGACAGUAAAAAAAUCAGCGGUUGCCAGGGGUUUAAUAAGUGGAGCACGGGGGAUUUUUAGGGCAGUGAAACUGUUCUGUAUCAUACUCUUAAUGAUAGAUAGAAGUCAUCAUAUAUAUGUCAAAACUCAGAAUGUACAGCACAAAGAACCAUAAUGUAAACUAUGGACUGAGGUUAAUAAUGUAUCAAUAUUGGCUCAUCAUUUGUAACAUACGCACCACAUUAAGGCAAGAUGUUAAUAACAGGGGAAAGGAAGAGCUGGAUGAGAGGGUAUAUGGGAACUUUGUACUUUCUACUCAUUUUUCUGUAAACCUAAAAAUGCUCUAAAAAAAAUAAAGUCUAUUAAAUAAAACAAACAAACAAAAACAUGGGGAUAAAUUGUGUGCCACCAAUUCUAUGGGAAAACUGCACGCACUCUUCCCCUAGAGGUUGGCGAAGGAAGGCGUGGAUACAAUGCUCUGUUCUAAGAUGUUGAUAACUUGCUUCAAUCUAUCCUCUAGCUGUAGUUUUGAGUUUAAAUAUAGGGAAAGCACUUGUUUCAUUUUUUUCCCCGUGACUUGGAAUAAAACUUCCUCCUUAUUCCCUGA